GGGGCAGUAGCUCAGUUGGGAGAGCGCUACGUUCGCAACGUAGAGGUCGUGGGUUCGAUCCCCAUCUGCUCCA
rnacentral:tRNA from 1 species